AACACGAUAAACAAGAUGCUAUAAAUGGUGUAAAUCCUGUGUCCCCAGACACUGGCAAAGAUGUAGUACAGUUCAAUAUAAAUAGCACUGAAAGGCAGAAAACCAGCCAUUGCCAUUUGAGGGACUGUUGCCCGGUACCAAGGUAAAGGUGGAAUCUCUCUGGGAUACUUGGUGGUUCGAACAGGAGCUUGGAACUCAGCUUUACUGUUCUUUCCAGCAAUCCCACCCAAUACCAAUAAAGGUGAUGUAACAAGUGUCCAUAUUAGAACUAUAACCACAAUUGUGCCAAAUGGAAGUGCUGCAGUGGCUGUGUAAGCAAUUGCGACAGUAUUCAAAAAGCAAAAUGUGAGAAACAAAGGUCCACAGAAGAGGCAUCCCGUCAACAACAG
rnacentral:lncRNA from 1 species